AUUGCAAGUCGAGCGAACAGACAAGGAGCUUGCUCCUUUGACGUUAGCGGCGGACGGGUGAGUAACACGUGGGUAACCUACCUAUAAGACUGGGAUAACUUCGGGAAACCGGAGCUAAUACCGGAUAAUAUUUCGAACCGCAUGGUUCGAUAGUGAAAGAUGGUUUUGCUAUCACUUAUAGAUGGACCCGCGCCGUAUUAGCUAGUUGGUAAGGUAACGGCUUACCAAGGCGACGAUACGUAGCCGACCUGAGAGGGUGAUCGGCCACACUGGAACUGAGACACGGUCCAGACUCCUACGGGAGGCAGCAGUAGGGAAUCUUCCGCAAUGGGCGAAAGCCUGACGGAGCAACGCCGCGUGAGUGAUGAAGGUCUUCGGAUCGUAAAACUCUGUUAUUAGGGAAGAACAUACGUGUAAGUAACUAUGCACGUCUUGACGGUACCUAAUCAGAAAGCCACGGCUAACUACGUGCCAGCAGCCGCGGUAAUACGUAGGUGGCAAGCGUUAUCCGGAAUUAUUGGGCGUAAAGCGCGCGUAGGCGGUUUUUUAAGUCUGAUGUGAAAGCCCACGGCUCAACCGUGGAGGGUCAUUGGAAACUGGAAAACUUGAGUGCAGAAGAGGAAAGUGGAAUUCCAUGUGUAGCGGUGAAAUGCGCAGAGAUAUGGAGGAACACCAGUGGCGAAGGCGACUUUCUGGUCUGUAACUGACGCUGAUGUGCGAAAGCGUGGGGAUCAAACAGGAUUAGAUACCCUGGUAGUCCACGCCGUAAACGAUGAGUGCUAAGUGUUAGGGGGUUUCCGCCCCUUAGUGCUGCAGCUAACGCAUUAAGCACUCCGCCUGGGGAGUACGACCGCAAGGUUGAAACUCAAAGGAAUUGACGGGGACCCGCACAAGCGGUGGAGCAUGUGGUUUAAUUCGAAGCAACGCGAAGAACCUUACCAAAUCUUGACAUCCUUUGACAACUCUAGAGAUAGAGCCUUCCCCUUCGGGGGACAAAGUGACAGGUGGUGCAUGGUUGUCGUCAGCUCGUGUCGUGAGAUGUUGGGUUAAGUCCCGCAACGAGCGCAACCCUUAAGCUUAGUUGCCAUCAUUAAGUUGGGCACUCUAAGUUGACUGCCGGUGACAAACCGGAGGAAGGUGGGGAUGACGUCAAAUCAUCAUGCCCCUUAUGAUUUGGGCUACACACGUGCUACAAUGGACAAUACAAAGGGCAGCGAAACCGCGAGGUCAAGCAAAUCCCAUAAAGUUGUUCUCAGUUCGGAUUGUAGUCUGCAACUCGACUACAUGAAGCUGGAAUCGCUAGUAAUCGUAGAUCAGCAUGCUACGGUGAAUACGUUCCCGGGUCUUGUACACACCGCCCGUCACACCACGAGAGUUUGUAACACCCGAAGCCCGGUGGAGUAAC
rnacentral:rRNA from 1 species